GACGAACGCUGGCGGCGUGCUUAACACAUGCAAGUCGAACGGAAAGGCCCUGCUUUUGUGGGGUGCUCGAGUGGCGAACGGGUGAGUAACACGUGAGUAACCUGCCCUUGACUUUGGGAUAACUUCAGGAAACUGGGGCUAAUACCGGAUAGGAGCUCCUGCUGCAUGGUGGGGGUUGGAAAGUUUCGGCGGUUGGGGAUGGACUCGCGGCUUAUCAGCUUGUUGGAGGGGUAGUGGCUUACCAAGGCUUUGACGGGUAGCCGGCCUGAGAGGGUGACCGGCCACAUUGGGACUGAGAUACGGCCCAGACUCCUACGCGAGGCAGCAGUGGGGAAUAUUGCACAAUGGGCGGAAGCCUGAUGCAGCAACGCCGCGUGCGGGAUGACGGCCUUCGGGUUGUAAACCGCUUUCGCCUGUGACGAAGCGUGAGUGACGGUAAUGGGUAAAGAAGCACCGGCUAACUACGUG
rnacentral:rRNA from 1 species